rnacentral:rRNA from 1 species
AGACGGAGGGCGCAAGCGUUGUUCGGAAUUACUGGGCGUAAAGGGCAGGUAGGUGGUCUGUUAAGUCUUCUGUGAAAAUCCGGGGCUCAACCCCGCGAAAUGCAGGUGAAACUGGCAGACUGGAGACCGGUAGAGGCUAGCGGAAUUCCUGGUGUAGCGGUGGAAUGCGUAGAUAUCAGGAAGAACACCUGUGGCGAAGGCGGCUAGCUGGGCCGGUUCUGACACUAAACUGCGAAAGCGUGGGGAGCAAACAGGAUUAGAAACCCCAGUAGUCC